CUGAAACCCUCCCCCAAGAGCCCAGCUACAAGCAGAACACGCCGUUUUUCCCUCCUUUUACGAACUAAUGAAACAGAAGCAAAAAGAGAGAGAGGCUGAGUUUCGGCUGAGGAGAGGAGGGAAGUUCACUGCGUCACGCCGCCACAAUAGGCCAUGUCGCCAGGAUCACCAUCCCCAAGCCUCCUUGCCGUCGCAUCGCCGCCGAAGCUUCCUGUGUCGCUACUAUUCGCGCAGAGGAGGGUUUAAGGGAGCUGGUGCCGCCACCGUGCCUAGCCAUCGAGCAACGUGUCGCUGCCAUCCUUGCGCCGCAAUUGCCAUCACAGAGGAAGGAACCCAGAACAGAGAGGCGCACGAAAGAGAAAAGCUUGCGGCUAGCCUUGUCGCCGCCACUGCUUCCGCGUCUUUUAACGGUGCUGUUGUCGCUGCCGUGAAUCGCGGCCAGAGGAGCGAGAGACCAGGAGAGGGAGGCGUGUUGCACUCUGCUACAGUCGAGCCAGCCUUGCUGCCUCAGCUGUUGGGGGGUUGCUUCCGUCACUGUCGCCAACGAGAAGGAUAGGGCAGUGCGUGAGAAACAGAGCGCGAAGGAGGAGAAGUCGGCUCCGCCACUGCCUUUCACUGCCUCCACAUGUUCCUCCGCCACUGCUAGAGGUGAGCUACCAGAACCCUCUGCUGCCCAAGAAACCACCACUAGGACCACUGCUAUGUUGGGGGUGAUUAUUGUAAAUUCCCUUGCCGCUGCCGCCGCUGGAAUCACGGACCAAGGUGGAGGAGAAGGUCUUUUUCCCCGCUGCUGCUAUAAUCGUUCUUACCGCUGCCGCUGUUUUAUUUUGAUUUAGUUUGAGUUUUGAUGAUUUCGUAUCGCAUAAGUGUGGCGGAGGCUGCUGUUGCAUUCCUUUUUAAUGAUAUGGGCGCAGAUGUCACGAAGAAUUUACUUAAUUAUUGUUGUUGAGAUGCUUUGUAUUGCCUUAGUUAUUAUUUAUUGUACCCUCGCCUUUAUCUUGAUAUAUUCUGUAAGAGAGAUAGGAAUUAUUUUGGAUAAUGAUUGUAAUAUUAUUUAUAAAUAUAUGUAUAAAUAUGGAUAUACUCUUUAUGAGUUUUUGUAAGUUGUAUGGUAUCUGUGGAUGUACGUUGUCGAACGAAAGUAUUUUGGGAGCAGUAUUGUAAUUUAAAGAUUUAAACAGGCUCAUAUUUUAGUACUAAAUAGUAUAAGAGUCGUUGUAAUGUCUGAGCUAUCAGAGUUCCGCAGCCGGAAGAGUGAGCUUUGAUAGUUAGGGUGUUACAAUCCGGGAUUUAAAACUCACGGUUUAUAUUUGUUUUGGAUUUUGGCAAUCAUAUAUUUUAAACUUUGAUUGAGAUGAUCGAUUGCCGGUUUGGACUAUACUUGCAACGGAAGUUAUUUUGUCUAAAUUUUCGAAUCAGAAGGAUUCCUUUUCGUCACUUGUCUUAUCAUAAAAUGAGUUUGAAGUAAAUAAAUAAAUUGUUAUGAACGAAAAAUAAUUGAGUAUAAGUUACUAGGAAUAAAUAAAUCUUCUGAAAAGUGGUGGUAAUCAAGCUGUGGAUAUGAUUUGUAAUAAGCGGUGAAUUGUGAAGAAUAAGGAGUGAUAUCAAGGUUCUGAGAACCGGACCGGUCAUCAAACCGCUCUAGUUACUGGUUCACUGGUUUACUGGUCUAACCGGUGGUUCAACCGAAAAAA